UACGGGGGGGGCUAGCGUUGUUCGGAAUUACUGGGCGUAAAGGGCGCGUAGGCGGCCUUCUAAGUCGGACGUGAAAUCCCCCGGCUCAACCGGGGAACUGCGUCUGAUACUGGAGGGCUCGAAUUCGGGAGAGGGAUGUGGAAUUCCAGGUGUAGCGGUGAAAUGCGUAGAUAUCUGGAGGAACACCGGUGGCGAAGGCGGCAUCCUGGACCGGUAUUGACGCUGAGGCGCGAAAGCCAGGGGAGCAAACGGG
rnacentral:rRNA from 1 species